rnacentral:rRNA from 1 species
GCAGCCGCGGUAAUACGGAAGGUCCGGGCGUUAUCCGGAUUUAUUGGGUUUAAAGGGAGCGUAGGCCGUCUUUUAAGCGUGUUGUGAAAUACUGUCGCUCAACGACAGAGGUGCAGCGCGAACUGGGAGACUUGAGUGCGCGGAAUGCAGGCGGAAUUCGUCGUGUAGCGGUGAAAUGCUUAGAUAUGACGAAGAACUCCGAUUGCGAAGGCAGCUUGCAGUAGCGUAACUGACGCUGAAGCUCGAAAGUGCGGGUAUCGAACAGGAUUAGAUACCCC